UACAGAGGUCUCAAGCGUUGUUCGGAUUCAUUGGGCGUAAAGGGCGCGUAGGCUGCGGGGCAAGUCGGGUGUGAAAUCUCAGAGCUCAACUCUGAAACUGCACUCGAUACUGCUCUGCUGGAGGACUGGAGAGGAGAUUGGAAUUCACGGUGUAGCAGUGAAAUGCGUAGAUAUCGUGAGGAAGACCAGUGGCGAAGGCGGAUCUCUGGACAGUUACUGACGCUGAGGCACGAAGGCCAGGGGAGCAAACGGG
rnacentral:rRNA from 1 species